rnacentral:RNase_P_RNA from 1 species
GAGCUGGCUGGACAGUCGCCGCUUCGUUUUCUCGGUAUUUCCGUAGGUGAUACUGGGUUGCGUUGGGGAGGAAAGUCCGGGCUCCAUAGGGCAGAGUGCCAGGUAACGCCUGGGGGGCGUGAGCCUACGGAAAGUGCAGCAGAGAGUAGACCGCCGAUGGCUAGUGUAUUCUGGUACAGGUAAGGGUGAAAGGGUGCGGUAAGAGCGCACCGCGCAGCUGGUAACAGUCUGUGGCAUGGUAAACCCCACUCGGAGCAAGACCAAAUAGGAAUCCAUUGGCGUGGCCCGCGCUGGAUUCGGGUAGGUUGCUUGAGGCAUAUGGUGACGUAUGCCCUAGAGGAAUGACUGUUCACGACAGAACCCGGCUUACAGGCCAGCUCC